rnacentral:rRNA from 1 species
GACGAACGCUGGCGGCGUGCUUAACACAUGCAAGUCGAACGGAAAGGCCCUGCUUUUGUGGGGUGCUCGAGUGGCGAACGGGUGAGUAACACGUGAGUAACCUGCCCUUGACUUUGGGAUAACUUCAGGAAACUGGGGCUAAUACCGGAUAGGAGCUCCUGCUGCAUGGUGGGGGUUGGAAAGUUUCGGCGGUUGGGGAUGGACUCGCGGCUUAUCAGCUUGUUGGCGGGGUAGUGGCUUACCAAGGCUUUGACGGGUAGCCGGCCUGAGAGGGUGACCGGCCACAUUGGGACUGAGAUACGGCCCAGACUCCUACGGGAGGCAGCAGUGGGGAAUAUUGCACAAUGGGCGGAAGCCUGAUGCAGCAACGCCGCGUGCGGGAUGAAGGCCUUCGGGUUGUAAACCGCUUUCGCCUGUGACGAAGCGUGAGUGACGGUAAUGGGUAAAGAAGCACCGGCUAACUACGUG